AGCAGAGUGUAUCCCUCGUCAUCUCUGACCUUCUUUUCCCAAUUUAAGCCAGAAAAUUAGGCGACAAGGAUGGGAGUAGGAUGGAGAAAUGUCCCCAGUAUGGGUGGUGCUGGGGACAUGAUGACAGCAGCAGCAAUUACCUCCAGGAAGAGUGACAUCAUUGCAGGAACUCGAGACAUUCAGGAGCCUGCAAGGAAAGGCAGGGAACCAAGAACACUGCCUGGUGAACAGACUUGGAGGGCAGAACCAGGAGCUGGGGAUCCAGUUACUUAGUUGAUUAGGGCUGGAGCCAGACUUCGUGGCACUAGGACCAAUGCCCUGCGGACACACAGGGAAUGCAACAAACCUCAGGGAUGAUCAUAUUUUUGGCAAAUAGUUCAGAAUGUUGGCAGAUGCCCAAAUGGAAGAGGAUCUGGCGUGGACAUAUGCUUGAAACCAUUGUCGUCACCUCACUCAGUGAACUAAAAUGAAAAAUAAAAACACCGCAAGUACUUUUUUAAUAACAGCAGCCUCAUUUGCACUUCUUACAUAAGCAAGAACAUUCCUACAGAUCGCAUGGGGGAUUGGACAUUAUUGUCAUCAUUCUACUGAGGCUCAGAGGUCUUCAGCAACUUGGUAAAGAGAACCAGACAAGCGAUUCUGGUCUUUUGACCAGAACCCAUAUUCUCCAUGGAAACUGCCUCCUAAUAGAAGAAGUGUUUCUCUUAUGUGGGUUAAAAUACUCCUCCAGAGACAAAAUCUUUAAAUUCUGGGACUAACGACUGAAGGUUUUCAAAUAAUCCCUUUGCCAACCUUACCCCCGCCUUCACCCACACAGUCACUGUGCACUGUGAGGAUAGGGCUGAGAUGGGAAGAAAGGCUCUACAGAACCCUUGUAUUGGUUGAUGCUGGGUGGUUAAUGUCAGAAUCCCUUACAUUUCAAUCAGUGAACAUUCUUAAAGUCAUCUUUAUAUCAAAAGUACUGUUCUAUGUUAGCACAACUCUUUGUCUGAAAUGCAUUUGGCAUAUGUCUGAGUUUGGGAUGUAGCUGUACAAAUUCUCCAACUCUCUUGAUAUCAAGACACAGAAAUUCAUCUGUGGACAGAUUUCUGUCCUUGACUCAAAUCCAUAACCCCUUGCUGUGGUAUAGAGAUAGAGAUGGACAUGGAGAAGGAGAGAGAGAGAGAGAGAGAUUCUCUUCUCUAUAUGACACAAAUAUUGGAUUACGGAAUAAUAAAAAGAAUCAAUUCAAAAUUU